GUGCUCGGUUUGUAGGCAGUGUAAUUAGCUGAUUGUACCUCGGUGCUUUACAAUCACUAACUCCACUGCCAUCAAAACAAGGCAC
ensembl:miRNA